AUCUGUUAUUCAAUCGGUUCAUUCAGUUUCACCAGCUGUUUCAUAUUUGAACGCCAUUUAUGUUCUACUCUUACCAUACAUACAUAUAGAUAAACUGCUGCAAAAAAAUCCAAUUUACUGCGCUGAUUGAAACACGAAAAUUGACUAUCAAUCUCAGUGAACCGUUGGCAGCGACAAACAUAAGUCAAACUUUGAAAAUCGUUUCCUAUCAUAAGAAGGUUUUCUUCUGGUCCUGAAAAUUAUUAGUCAAUCAUUUCGAGGUUGAUUUCCUCCUCGUCGUCCUUAAUUAUUACAAGCAGAAAACUAAAAUGUCUCCACCAUGGAUAAUGUCACUGAUAGUUUAUUUGCUCACUGUCACAAGAGCCAAUAGCUGUGAAUUUAUAACGGAGCCAAUGUGUGGGGAGCAGUUCACGGCUGGCAAUUACACGAUGACUCAGUUUCCUAACCUAAAAAAUCAUAAUCUCGCGUCUGAGGCGAGUCUGGAAAUCAACACCUUUUAUCCACUGGUCCAACUGCAAUGCUCUGACAAACUACAAAUUUUCCUCUGUUCCAUCUACUUCCCCGUCUGUCUGCCCGAUUUGGAUGGAACCCUGGGCCCCUGUCGAGAGCUGUGCGAGGAAACCAAGAUCGGAUGUAGCCACAUCAUGAAGUCAUACAGUUUUGAGUGGACGUUUCCAUGCGAACAGUAUAAUCAAUGCUAGCCCUAUUUUCUGAAUCAACAACUAAUGUUGAGCCAUGAAUCAAAAUUGUAUAGUUGGUUUGUGGGAGACCUGCAUUUGAGUUGGAUCUAUUUCAAUUUAAUCAA